rnacentral:rRNA from 1 species
GACGAACGCUGGCGGCGUGGAUUAGGCAUGCAAGUCGAACGGUAUCAUCCUUUCGGGGGUGAGAGAGUGGCGAACUGGUGAGUAACACGUAGGUUAUCUACCCUCAAGACGGGGACAACCCAGGGAAACUUGGGCUAAUACCGGAUGUGAGCAACUUUUAGUUGUUUGAAAGGUGGCGUAAGCUGUCGCUUGGGGAUGAGCCUGCGUCCUAUUAGUUAGUUGGUGAGGUAACGGCUCACCUAGGCAAUGAUAGGUAGGCGGCCUUAACGGGUGGUCGCCCACACUGGGAUUGAGAUACGGCCCAGACUCCUACGGGAGGCAGCAGUCGAGAAUAGUCUACAAUGGUCGGAAGACUGAUAGUGCGACGCCGCGUGAACGAUGAAUCCCUUCGGGGUGUAAAGUUCUUUUAUAUGUGAGCAGUGCUUCUUAUAUUAACAGUAUGGGGAGAGAGAUAUUAGCAUAUGAAUAAGCAACGGCUAAACUCCCGUGCCCAGCAGCCCGCGGUAAUA